rnacentral:rRNA from 1 species
GACGAACGCUGGCGGCGUGCCUAAUACAUGCAAGUUGAGCGCUGAAGGUUGGUACUUGUACCAACUGGAUGAGCAGCGAACGGGUGAGUAACGCGUGGGGAAUCUGCCUUUGAGCGGGGGACAACAUUUGGAAACGAAUGCUAAUACCGCAUAAAAACUUUAAACACAAGUUUUAAGUUUGAAAGAUGCAAUUGCAUCACUCAAAGAUGAUCCCGCGUUGUAUUAGCUAGUUGGUGAGGUAAAGGCUCACCAAGGCGAUGAUACAUAGCCGACCUGAGAGGGUGAUCGGCCACAGUGGGACUGGGACACGGCCCAAACUCCUACAGGAGGCAGCAGUAGGGAAUCUUCGGCAAUGGACGAGAGUCUGACCGAGCAACGCCGCGUGAGUGAAGAAGGGUUUCGGAUCGUAAAACUCGGUUGGUAGAGAAGAACGUUGGUGAGAGUGGAAAGCUCAUCAAGUGACGGUAACUACCCAGAAAGGGACGGCUAACUACGUG